rnacentral:rRNA from 1 species
CUACGGGAGGCAGCAGGGAGGAAUAUUGGGCAAUGGCCGAAAGGCUGACCCAGCAACGCCGCGUGGAGGACGAAGACCUUCGGGUUGUAAACUCCUUUUCUGGGGGAAGAGAAAGGACGGUACCCCAGGAAUAAGUCACGGCUAACUACGUGCCAGCAGCCGCGGUAAAACGUAGGUGGCAAGCGUUAUCCGGAUUUACUGGGCGUAAAGCGCGCGCAGGUGGUAGCGUAAGUUGGAUGUGAAAUCUCCUGGCUCAACUGGGAGGGGUCGUUCAAGACUGCGUUGCUUGAGGUCGAGAGAGGAGUGCUGAAUUCCCGGUGUAGUGGUGGAAUGCGUAGAUAUCGGGAGGAACACCAGUGGCGAAGGCGGCUUCCUGGGACAUACCUGACACUGAGAAGCGAAAGCCAGGGGAGCAAACGGGAUUAGAUACCCCAGUAGUCC